rnacentral:lncRNA from 1 species
UAAGCCUGACAGGCUCUGGGGCAGGGCUCUUCAGUUGGUGGGUUGUGAUGAUAACACCAGCUCUGAGUACAGGAGAUUUUCAUUUGAUGAGUGGUCUGAACAUCUACUUAGUGGUUAUAAAAUAUUUGCUGCUGAAAGCCACAGAGCAUUGAUAAACAGAUCCUGGACAGCUGAGUUAUUGCAAUCUACUUAACAUGAGGAGAACAAAUUGUGAGUCAAAUGUUCCUGUUUAAUAACCUUACUCAGGGCAGAGAGAGCUGCUCAAGGUUGGCGUUAACUCUGCAUGCGCUGCGCCAGCCAGGGUCCCAGAAAGGGCUGUGCAGACGUUGAAGCAAUUCAGAUUAUGCUUUACUUUAACACAUGCAGAAAAGGAUGGAUUCAUCUCAUUCAUGGGAAACAGAUGAGGAAUACAUUUUCUGUGAAUGCUAUUUCAAAAAAUAUGGGGUCUCACUAUGUUGUCCAUGCUGAUCUCAAACUCCUGGGCUCAAGCAAUCUUCCCACCUCAGCCUCCCAAAGUGCUGGGAUUACAGGAGCACAAAGGAAAGGCCAUGCGAGGACACAGGGAGAAGACAGGCCCCUACCAGUCAGGAAGGGAGCCCUCACCAGAAACUGAGCUGGCCAGCACAAUGGUCUUGGACUUGUAGCUCCAGAACUGUGAGGAAAUAAAUUUCUGUUGUUGAAGCC